rnacentral:rRNA from 1 species
ACGAACGCUGGCGGCGUGCUUAACACAUGCAAGUCGAACGGAAAGGCCCUGCUUGCAGGGUACUCGAGUGGCGAACGGGUGAGUAACACGUGGGUGAUCUGCCCUGCACUUCGGGAUAAGCCUGGGAAACUGGGUCUAAUACCGGAUAGGAGCCAUUUUUAGUGUGAUGGUUGGAAAGUUUUUUCGGUGUAGGAUGAGCUCGCGGCCUAUCAGCUUGUUGGUGGGGUAAUGGCCUACCAAGCGGCGACGGGUAGCCGGCCUGAGAGGGUGGACGGCCACAUUGGGACUGAGAUACGGCCCAGACUCCUACGGGAGGCAGCAGUGGGGAAUAUUGCACAAUGGGCGCAAGCCUGAUGCAGCGACGCCGCGUGGGGGAUGACGGCCUUCGGGUUGUAAACUCCUUUCGCUAGGGACGAAGCUUUUUGUGACGGUACCUAGAUAAGAAGCACCGGCUAACUACGUG